GGACUGGGGUUCAGUGGUAGAGUGCUCAUCUAGUGUGUGUGAGGCCCUGGGUUCAAUCCUCAGCACCA
rnacentral:tRNA from 1 species